GUGAGCCCAGCACCAGCUCAGGCUGCCGAUGCUCCAGAGUCGGAUUCCACCUUCCACUUAAAUGGCAGCCACAGGUAGACAUGCCCAUCACAACCACCUCUGUGCGUUCAUAAUCUCUGUUUAUUCUGCAAGUGAUUUCCACGUGGAAAAUGGCACAGUGUUUCUCAGAAGACAACUGCAUAAAAAUCAACAUACUUCAAAUUCACAGCAAAUAAUCAGAUAAUUGAUGAAACUACUUACCCAAACGAUAAUUGUAAAUUAUGCCUUCUGAAUAUAUUUGUCAUAAACUUGGAGUAAGGAACCCUCACAGACACAGAACAAUUCAAAAAAUGCAAAGCUGUUUGUUAAAAUACUGGUGCUUUUGGGUAGAAACCCUCAUCCAUAUCCUGGUAAGGGUUGAAGUUGCACAGGUGUUUUCAUUUGUCAAAAUCCAGAAAACCAUAAGCUUUAGAUUUGUGAAUUAUGUUGUAUUAUAUGCGAUCUUUCUUUUUAAAAAUGAGCUGUCAGUGGUCUCCCAGACAGCAGAUCAGCCUCCAGGAAUCUCUUCCAGCAUGACCAAAGACACCUUUUCACACAAGAUGGUAGCAACAAAUUAUAGGUGCAAUCACACCAAAUUCACAGAAGAUCAAUUGAAAAUCCUCAUCAAUACCUUCAAUCAGAAACCUUACCCAGGUUAUGCUACCAAACAAAAGCUUGCUUUAGAAAUCAAUACAGAAGAGUCCAGAAUGCAUGUUUAAUGCUUCUAGGACUUUUCAAAUUGAAGAGCUAGGCACAGAUUCCAGAAAAGACCAGAACCUGACUUUAGAUUCAAGCCAGAGCCAUGGGCAAGAUCAACCUGGUGUGGAGUUUCAACGUAGAGAAGCCAGACGGUGUCAUACCAUCUAUAGCACCUCUCAAUUACACACUCUUUUCAAGGCAUUUAUGAAAACCCAUACCCUGGGAUUGAUUCCAGAGAACAACUUGCUGAAGAAAUUGGUGCUUCAGAGUCAAGAGUCCAAAUUUGGUUCCAAAAUCGAAGAUCUAGAUUUCAUCUCCACAGAAAAAGAGAACCUGUUGUGUCCUUAGAACAAGAAGCCCAGUGGCAAGAUUUCUGAGGGACUUCAAGGUACAGAAGAUACACAAAAUGACAGCAACCUCACUAGCACUCUCAUUUCUCUAGAGUCAGAGCAUGGUGAACACGGUCAAGUUCAGUGUAUUUGAUAUUAUCAACUUAGUCCCCAACUCUCUCUCAGAGUCUUUCUGGGAAUCCAUCCUGCUGAAAGUGCAAGCUAAACUUUCUGAAGAUGGUAAAGAACUUAGCUGGGUGUGGUGGCUCACCAUUGUAAUCUCAGCACUUUGGGAGGCUGAGGCAGGAAGAUUGCUUGAGCCCAGGAGUUUGAAACCAGUCUGGGCAGCAUAGUAAGACCCUGUCUCUAUUAUAAAAAACAAAAUAAACAUAAAGGACUGUAGGAGGUUGAGACAGGUACAGGAGGCACCACACUACGCUAUUGACACAGCCUGGAUCCAGAGUUCAGCAGAACUUGAGACAAUGAAAACAAAUUUAGUAAUAAUCAUUUUUCAAUCAUCUCAGUACUUAUUGAUUUGGACAAAAAUCAGUUAACGUCAAACACUUAAAGUGAAGCUGCUCUGCCUAUGGAGUAGCCAUUCUUUUAUUCCUUUAGUUUCUUAAUACAUUUUCUUUCACUUAAAAAAAAACCUUAUAGUUUGAUGAAGAAUGACAUAUAUACCUCAUCUCAAAGAAUCUUCUCACACACACUUAUUAAUUACAAGAGGAAAAUCAGUAAUUUUGCAGCAGAGAAAUAUGGCCAACUCCACCUUAACCAAGUGGCUUAAAGUCACGGCACCAGUAAUGGCACAAACCAAUGUGAGAUGCUUCCUGAUAGGAUACACUAAAAAGGGCACAGUCUCUUCUGCAUGUUGCUGACAAAAAGUGGGUAAACUGAAACUGAAACCAAUAAUUAGACAAUGUCAAGCAAACACAAAUUCAGGUUGACAGUCUGCAAAGUAGCAUCCACGUACUCUUCAGCAAUGGAUUGAUCCUAGCUACUCAGGAAUCAGAGGCAGGAGGAUUGUUUGAGGCCAGGAAUUCCAGAUCAGCUUGGGCAACAUGAUGAGACCCCAUCUCUACAAACAUCUUUUUAAAAA